AUUGAACGCUGGCGGCAGGCUUAACACAUGCAAGUCGAACGAGUGGCGGACGGGUGAGUAAUGCUUGGGAAUCUGGCUUAUGGAGGGGGAUAACGAAGGGAAACUGUCGCUAAUACCGCGUACAAUAGGAUGAGCCCAAGUGGGAUUAGGUAGUUGGUGGGGUAAUGGCCUACCAAGCCGAAGAUCUCUAGCGGGUCUGAGAGGAUGACCAGCCACACCGGGAUUGAGACACGGCCCUGCCUCCUACGGUAGGCAGCAGUGGGGAAUAUUUCGCAAUGGGGGCAACCUGACGAAGCCAUGCCGCGUGAAUGAAGAAGGCCGUCGGUGUGUAAAGUUCUUUCGGUGACGAGGCGUUAAUCACAGAAGAAGCACCGGCUAACGCCGUGCCAGCAGCCGCGGUAAUUC
rnacentral:rRNA from 1 species